GAUGAACGCUGACAGAAUGCUUAACACAUGCAAGUCUUUGGCGAAGCUGUGCUUGCACAGCCUAGCCAAGGCGGACGGGUGAGUAACGCGUAAGGAACUUGCCCUGCAGUCAGGGAUAACAGACGGAAACGACUGAUAAGACCUGGUAAAGUCAGGCGGCCUCAUGUCCAGCCUGAUGAAAAGAGAUGCUGCAGGAGAGCCUUGCGUCCUAUUAGCUGGUUGGUGGGGUAACGGCCCACCAAGGCGAUGAUAGGUAGCCGGCCUGAGAGGGUGGACGGCCACAAGGGGACUGAGAUACGGCCCUUACUCCUACGGGAGGCAGCAGUGGGGAAUAUUGGACAAUGGGGGCAACCCUGAUCCAGCAAUUCUGUGUGCACGAUGAAGGUUUUCGGAUUGUAAAGUGCUUUCAGCAGGGAAGAAAAAAAUGACGGUACCUGCAGAAGAAGCGACGGCUAAAUACGUG
rnacentral:rRNA from 1 species